CAAAUAAGCAAAAGUUCUCUCUUCAUGAAAAUUUAAAGCCGAAGAACUGAGUUACCCUCAAACAAGACCACGUCUACCGAUUCCACUAUUUUUUAAAUCGGAGCCAGACCGAACGGGUGGCCAGGUUUACUAGUGCCCAGUGCCUACCUUAAACCCUAGCAGGCAAUAGCAAGAAACAAAAGUCUUCAAUUAACCAUGCUACUGAAAGCCGCGUUCUUAGUUCACAGCAAAAUGGUGCCAAACCCUGUAUAUCUCACACAAAAAUCCCAACUCUUACACCGUUUUCUGGCCUUUUCUAGCAGAUCCCUUUCGCAUUUUGGUCAUAAAGCUCAAGUUUCCGUCAACCCUAUUCAGAUAAUUGGCCUCAGGGCCUCUUCUUCGUGCUGUUCCUUUUUAUGUCCUCUAAAUUCUACUCAUGGGACUGUGCUUAAGGAUUUGAGAUGUUCUAAAUUGGGAUGGCAAUUGAAUUUUGAUAGACUUUGUGCCUCGGCUGUUUCAAAUGGCGGCUCCGGUGGUGUUGGCGGGCUCGGGGGCUAUGGCAAUGGGAAUUCUGGUGGUAAUGGUAACGGUUGUGGCGGCAGCGGCGGUGAUGGUGGAGAUAGCUGGUCCUUCGUUUCGUGGUAUUUGACUCUUCUUGCCAAGUAUCCUGUGUUGACAAAAGCUUUGACAUCUGCAUUUUUGACUUUUAUUGGAGACUUAGUCUGCCAGCUUGUGAUCGAUCAAGUUCCUUCUCUUGAAGUAAAAAGGACGCUUCUGUUUACUUUCUUGGGAUUGGUACUAGUGGGUCCCACAUUGCAUUUCUGGUAUUUGUAUCUGAGUAAAUUGGUAACAUUGCCUGGAGCAUCAGGUGCAUUCUUGCGUCUUCUACUUGAUCAGUUCCUUUUUUCUCCAAUAUUCAUUGGAGUUUUCUUGUCUACAUUGGUGACACUAGAAGGCCGGCCUCAACAAGUUGUACCCAAGCUUCAACAGGAGUGGUUUUCUGCUGUUCUUGCAAAUUGGCAACUGUGGAUACCUUUUCAAUUUCUGAACUUCCGAUUUGUCCCUCAGCAAUUUCAGGUUCUUGCUGCUAAUGCUAUUGCUUUAAUUUGGAAUGUAAUUCUCUCAUUCAAAGCUCACAAAGAGGUUCUCCCAAAAUAGUUCUUUCUCUAUUUCUUCUAUAAUUCUCUGUUAGGGUUCCACAACCCUAACAUUUGGUAUCAGAGCUACCGAAUCCAAGAAUCAGUGGGUAAUUGGUCAUUGGGGGUCAGAACUAUGACUAGAGUAGUUGUAGCGAGUCUAGAGAUGGUGAAGUUUGUUGAGUUGGAAGAACAAGUGAGAAACUUGCGAGAUGUUUCUCUAAUCUACAAGAGGUGGCUUCGUGAACUGCUGGAGAUCUAAAGGAAUUUAAGGAAGACAUGAUGAAGAAAACUGAAGGUGGAUCAUUCCUUACUCCAAACUGCUGUGAAUUUGUAGCCAUGUUUGAUAUCAAGUUCUUUGCUGCUUCAGGUAUCUUAUCUACCAAAGCACCUCUAUUAACUGUAUCUAUCAUGCCUUUGUUAGUAGGAAGAAGACCUUCAUAAAAAUAUUGAACGAGUAGUUGGUCACUUAUUUGAUGAUGUGGGCAACUUGCACGCAAUCUCUUGAAUCUCUCUCAAUACUCAUGCAAUGACUCCCUAUUAUACUGACUAAUGUCACAAAUUUCUUUUCUAAUGUUGGCUGCCCUUGAAGCUGGAAAGUACUUCUCUAAGAAUAGCCUCUUCAUGUCAUUCCAUAUGUUUAUGAAAUCAGAAGGUAGGUGGUAGAGCCAAUCUUUAGCUGCAUCUUCCAAUGAGAAUGAGAAUGCUUUCAAUUUAAUUUGCUCCUCUGUAAUACUUGUAGGUUUCAUGCUUAAACACACAACAUGAAACUCCUCAAGGUGUUUGUGAGGAUCAUCACUUGCAAGACUACGAAAAGUAGGCAAUAAGUGAAUUAAGCCAGAUUUUAAUUCAAAAGGCACCGUAAGUGCAGGAUAUUGUAUGCAUAAUGGUUGUUGGUUCAUGUCAGGAGUUGCAAACUCUCUGAUGGUUCUUGCUCAAAAGGAUGAGGAGGAGUCACUUGUGGUUCGUUUCCAACAAAAGUUUUAGCUCUGAAUGGAGUGGAUGAUUUGUCUUAUUGCUGACGAAUUCCCUGAUAUGUUUAAGCUUUGUAUCAAGUUCUUCUUCAAACAUGCCACCUAAAAAUAAACAUAAAACUAAAUAUAAACAAAUCUGAAUUCAAGUUUAAACCAAAUAACAAUCACUCAUCGGCAACGACGCCAAAGAUGAGUGCCAAAUGCACUAAUUAGAAAUAAUCUACCUAAACUACUUGUUUAUAGGGUAAGCAGAGGUCGAUCCUAUAGGGAAUGAGUAAAUGUAAACAAGAAAACAGAUCUUAGCGACACAAAUAAAUAAAAGGUAAAACAGACAAAAUAAACACCUAAAUUUAUCAAACUGAAUAUGCAAAGUAAAAUAAAAUGGGAUUUUGAUUUGUAUUCGCUAAACUAGUGAAGUUAAACUAAGAAUACUAGAAUAUAAACUAAGGCUAAUGACACUUAUGAAUACUCAACAUAACCAUAUUGUAACAAAUUCAGUAGAGGGUGUUAUCUACCAUAGAAUGUAUAUUAAUUAUUGACUAAAGAUGUAAAUUUAUUCAAUUGAGUAAAUUGAUUAUAGAAGUUAAUAACGUCCUUAUCUUUUCUUACAAAUUAGAUUAAACAGGAAGUGCUUUACUAUUAAUUCCUUACCAUCGCACUCAAUCUAAGAUUAGAGCAUAUUAUAAUUAAGUUUAAUGGUAGCAUUAAUAAUUAGAAAGCAUCCUAAUUCAAGGUAACAAACUCAUUCAGCAUGGUUCAUUUAACCUAGACACUCAUCUUUAUAAUGAAAUAAAUCAUUAUGUGCUAUGUGUAGUCAGAUUAUUCGAGUUAUUAUGUACUCAAAUUAUCUUAACUUAGGAGUCUGUUUUUAUGCACAAUUAAUUAGUUGACCACUCUAACUAACCAUACAUUCAACAUUCAUAACAUAAACCAGAAGAUUAGUGAUACUCAAUAUAGAACAAAUCUGGAUGUUAUUAAACUCAAAUCAAACUCUCAUGGCAAUAUGUUCCAUGGUUUUAACUAUCUCUCUACUAAAUUAUAAAAUUACUUACACAUAACUAAGAACAUUAAAUAUAAACAAAUUAACAAAAGAAGAGAGAAAAACAUGCUGUUCCUUUUAGAAGUAAUUUGAAAGUUGGAUCUGAUGUUGAUGAUGAUGCUACACACUCCAAAGGACGUAGAAGUGCGCUUCACAAGCCACAAAAAGAAGAAGAAAUCACGCCAGCAACCAGAUCAAGCAGUUGAUAUCUUUGAAUGCAUAAAGAAAGAAUUUAGCCACUAUGAGUAGAAGAGAAUUGAAAAACUCCAUAUUUGUAUUUUGGACUCUUUUAUAGAGAAAAAUAGGUUAACUCAAACUCCAGAUCUAAUUUGGAAGUCUUAGUUGUAUUUUGACUUAAAACUCUUUCAAGAAUCCUAGUUAAAGGAGGAAAAUAAGUUAAAAACAACUCUCCUUUUACAUA